rnacentral:rRNA from 1 species
GACGAACGCUGGCGGCGUGCCUAAUACAUGCAAGUCGAACGCACUCUCGUUUAGAUUGAAGGAGCUUGCUCCUGAUUGAUAAACAUUUGAGUGAGUGGCGGACGGGUGAGUAACACGUGGGUAACCUGCCCUAAAGUGGGGGAUAACAUUUGGAAACAGAUGCUAAUACCGCAUAAAACCUAACACCGCAUGGUGUAGGGUUGAAAGAUGGUUUCGGCUAUCACUUUAGGAUGGACCCGCGGUGCAUUAGUUAGUUGGUGAGGUAAAGGCUCACCAAGACCGUGAUGCAUAGCCGACCUGAGAGGGUAAUCGGCCACACUGGGACUGAGACACGGCCCAGACUCCUACGGGAGGCAGCAGUAGGGAAUCUUCCACAAUGGACGAAAGUCUGAUGGAGCAACGCCGCGUGAGUGAAGAAGGUUUUCGGAUCGUAAAACUCUGUUGUUGGAGAAGAAUGUAUCUGAUAGUAACUGAUCAGGUAGUGACGGUAUCCAACCAGAAGUMUGAAWWUUYG